ACACACUUUUAAUUAAAGAGCUUGAACUUUCAACAAAUAAUUAAAUUUUUCAACUACAUUUUAUGUAAGAAAUUUAUCUCAGUGAGAAACCCGAAUCAGAAUAUCACAUCACGAGUUGUGUUGUCGCUCGGGAUAUGCGGAGCUGCUGUAAUCAAAUAUCAGCCUUCUCCAUUCAUCAUAUACUGUUUCUCCCUAAGGAGGAACAGGUAAGGAUUG